rnacentral:rRNA from 1 species
GAGGUGGAAGCGUAGCGAUACGUGGAGCUGACGAAUACUAAUCGAUCGAAGACUUAAUCAAUUU